rnacentral:rRNA from 1 species
AUUAGAUACCCGGGUAGUCCACGCAGUAAACGAUGAAUGCUAAUUGUCCGGUGGGAAUGACCUCUGGGUGAUACAGCGAAAGCGUUAAGCAUUCCACCUGGGGAGUACGCCGGCAACGGUGAAACUCAAAGGAAUUGACGGGGGCCCGCACAAGCGGAGGAACAUGUGGUUUAAUUCGAUGAUACGCGAGGAACCUUACCCGGGCUCAAACGCGGCAGGCAUGAUGUCGAAAGAUGUCAGUUCUACGGAACCUGUCGCGAGGUGCUGCAUGGUUGUCGUCAGCUCGUGCCGUGAGGUGUCGGCUUAAGUGCCAUAACGAGCGCAACCCCCAUCGCCAGUUACCAUCAAGUAAAGUUGGGGACUCUGGCGAGACUGCCGGCGCAAGCUGCGAGGAAGGCGGGGAUGACGUCAAAUCAGCACGGCCCUUACGUCCGGGGCGACACGCGUGUUACAAUGGCAGGCACAGAGAGAAGCGACAUGGCGACAUGAAGCGGAACUGUCAAAACCUGUCUCAGUUCGGAUUGGAGUCUGCAACCCGACUCCAUGAAGCUGGAUUCGCUAGUAAUCGCGCAUCAGCCACGGCGCGGUGAAUACGUUCCCGGGCCUUGUACACACCGCCCGUCAAGCCAUGGGAGCCGGGGGUGCCUGAAGUGCGCUGCCGCAAGGAGCGCCCUAGGGUAAAACCGGUGACUGGGGCUAAGUCGUAACAAGGUACC